UACGUAGGGUGCAAGCGUUGUCCGGAAUUAUUGGGCGUAAAGAGCUCGUAGGUGGCCUGUCGCGUCGGCUGUGAAAACUCGGGGCUCAACUCCGAGCUUGCAGUCGAUACGGGCAGGCUAGAGUUCGGCAGGGGAGACUGGAAUUCCUGGUGUAGCGGUGAAAUGCGCAGAUAUCAGGAGGAACACCGGUGGCGAAGGCGGUUCUCUGGGCCUUACCUGACACUGAGGAGCGAAAGCGUGGGGAGCGAACAGG
rnacentral:rRNA from 1 species